UACGUAGGGGGCAAGCGUUGUCCGGAAUCAUUGGGCGUAAAGAGCGUGUAGGCGGCCCGAUAAGUCCGCUGUGAAAGUCGGGGGCUCAACCCUCGAAUGCCGGUGGAUACUGUCGGGCUAGAGUGCGGAAGAGGCGAGUGGAAUUCCUGGUGUAGCGGUGAAAUGCGCAGAUAUCAGGAGGAACACCGAUUGCGAAGGCAGCUCGCUGGGACGUAACUGACGCUGAGACGCGAAAGCGUGGGGAGCAAACAGG
rnacentral:rRNA from 1 species